CCUAGCCGGAAAAUUUUACGUUGUUCGGGCUGGGAAGUGGAUUGUGCAUUCGCCCUGUGUGACAGUUUGUGAUCCUUUUGUUCGAAAAUAAAAUAGAAAAAUAAACAGGCAGAAAAUUGUGUCAAGCUUACCAAGGCGGGAAGGAGUGAAGAAUCGGCGACUAGUUGACUGGAAGACAGGACGCACCAUGUGACACCCAGUAUGCAUAAGUGCAUUGGUGCAUAUUGUUCGACAUCAACAUCGAGCGUGCGGUUUGUCUGCGUACUGAUGUGCCUGCACCACCUGCAUCGAUGCAACCAGUCCGAAGAGAAGCAAAAGAAAGCAAGAGAGUGAUACAAUUUGUUUUAAAAAGUUAAAAAUUGAACGAAAAAUUGAAGUGAUCGUACACGGUGGAAGAAAAAGGAAAAAAUCAGCAAACUCUGCACUAACACAUAAACGUAUACACAAACACAUGUACUCAUCCGAUCGAGGGCGAUUUUCAGAUAUUUCGUCAGUUUCCCCAUGAAGGAUCACUUCCUUGCGAAUUAUAACCCUACGGAUUUUUAAACCAGGAUAUUCAAAUUAUCAUAUCAACUCGUGAACGUUAGUAACCGUUGUGGGCGUGGAAUAGGAACAGGG